ensembl:processed_transcript
AGCAGCUCUGAAAACCACACGUCCUGGGCAUGGCUACUGUUCAAAAGAUGGAGCACAGAGCAGGGGCUUCUGGAAUCCUCCCGCAGCUCUGCUAUCUCGUGGCUGGACUGUGGCACCGUGAGGCUUGUGGACAUGUGGAUAUGAGGACAUGUGGACUUCAUUCCUGAAAACAGAGCUCUUGAGGUGUGCCCUCCCACAACCCAGCAACACCAGCCUCCAGUGCCCUGGAACUUUCUCUGGACAGACACAGCUUUGCCUCAGGCAGGACUGACCAGGACCUGAAGAGAGCUGGCUUGGGAGCUCUCUGGAAGGGUCUUGCGUCUAAAAAGGGGAAACCAAAAGGGUGGAUGGUGAUCAGAAAUCUGCGCUCUUGUUUCCUGCUGACUAAGUCGGAUUGUCUUGAACAAGAGACUUUAUCGGUUCAUCUAUAAAAUAAACAUUUUGAGCCA